rnacentral:rRNA from 1 species
AUUGAACGCUAGCGGGAGGCUUUACACAUGCACGUCGAACGAGUGGCGGACGGGUGAGUAAUAUAUCGGAACGUGCCAAGUAGCGGGGGAUAACUAAUGGAAACGGAGCUAAUACCGCAUAACAUCGGAUGAACCCAUAUCGGAUUAGCUAGUUGGUGGGGUAAAGGCUCACAAAGGCAACGAUCCGUAGCUGGUUUGAGAGGACGACCAGCCACACUGGGACUGAGACACGGCCCAGACUCCUACGGGAGGCAGCAGUGGGGAAUUUUGGACAAUGGGGGAAACCCUGAUCCAGCCAUCCCGCGUGUAUGAUGAAGGCCUUCGGGUUGUAAAGUACUUUUGGCGGAGAAGCGGUAUCUGCAGAAUAAGCACCGGCUAACUACGUGCCAGCAGCCGCGGUAAUUC